rnacentral:rRNA from 1 species
CAGAGGAAGGCUCGUCCGCUCUGGGUUAGUCGGGUCCUAAGCUGAGGCCGACAGGCGUAGGCGAUGGAUAACAGGUUGAUAUUCCUGUACCACCUUUAAUCGUUUUAAUCGAUGGGGGGACGCAGUAGGAUAGGCGAAGCGUGCGAUUGGAUUGCACGUCUAAGCAGUAAGGCUGAGUAUUAGGCAAAUCCGGUACUCGUUAAGGCUGAGCUGUGAUGGGGAGAAGACAUUGUGUCUUCGAGUCGUUGAUUUCACACUGCCGAGAAAAGCCUCUAGAUAGAAAAUAGGUGCCCGUACCGCAAACCGACACAGGUAGUCAAGAUGAGAAUUCUAAGGUGAGCGAGCGAACUCUCGUUAAGGAACUCGGCAAAAUGACCCCGUAACUUCGGGAGAAGGGGUGCUCUUUAGGGUUAACGCCCAGAAGAGCCGCAGUGAAUAGGCCCAAGCGACUGUUUAUCAAAAACACAGGUCUCUGCUAAACCGUAAGGUGAUGUAUAGGGGCUGACGCCUGCCCGGUGCUGGAAGGUUAAGAGGAGUGGUUAGCUUCUGCGAAGCUACGAAUCGAAGCCCCAGUAAACGGCGGCCGUAACUAUAACGGUCCUAAGGUAGCGAAAUUCCUUGUCGGGUAAGUUCCGACCCGCACGAAAGGCGUAACGAUUUGGGCACUGUCUCAACGAGAGACUCGGUGAAAUCAUAGUACCUGUGAAGAUGCAGGUUACCCGCGACAGGACGGAAAGACCCCGUGGAGCUUUACUGUAGCCUGAUAUUGAAAUUCGGCACAGCUUGUACAGGAUAGGUAGGAGCCUUUGAAACGUGAGCGCUAGCUUACGUGGAGGCGCUGGUGGGAUACUACCCUAGCUGUGUUGGCUUUCUAACCCGCACCACUUAUCGUGGUGGGAGACAGUGUCAGGCGGGCAGUUUGACUGGGGCGGUCGCCUCCUAAAAGGUAACGGAGGCGCUCAAAGGUUCCCUCAGAAUGGUUGGAAAUCAUUCAUAGAGUGUAAAGGCAUAAGGGAGCUUGACUGCGAGACCUACAAGUCGAGCAGGGUCGAAAGACGGACUUAGUGAUCCGGUGGUUCCGCAUGGAAGGGCCAUCGCUCAACGGAUAAAAGCUACCCCGGGGAUAACAGGCUUAUCUCCCCCAAGAGUUCACAUCGACGGGGAGGUUUGGCACCUCGAUGUCGGCUCAUCGCAUCCUGGGGCUGUAGUCGGUCCCAAGGGUUGGGCUGUUCGCCCAUUAAAGCGGUACGCGAGCUGGGUUCAGAACGUCGUGAGACAGUUCGGUCCCUAUCCGUCGUGGGCGUAGGAAAUUUGAGAGGAGCUGUCCUUAGUACGAGAGGACCGGGAUGGACAUACCUCUGGUGUACCAGUUGUCGUGCCAACGGCAUAGCUGGGUAGCUAUGUGUGGACGGGAUAAGUGCUGAAAGCAUCUAAGCAUGAAGCCCCCCUCAAGAUGAGAUUUCCCAACUUCGGUUAUAAGAUCCCUCAAAGAUGAUGAGGUUAAUAGGUUCGAGGUGGAAGCAUGGUGACAUGUGGAGCUGACGAAUACUAAUCGAUCGAAGACUUAAUCAA